GUGUUCACUUCAGCAGCACAUACAGUAAACUUGGAAUGAUGCAGAGAUUGGCAUGGCCCCGGUGCAAGGAUGAUGCACAAUUUCAUGAAGGGUUCCCUAUUUUU